rnacentral:lncRNA from 1 species
GAAGACCUUGCAGGGUUUGUCUGUCUCUGGGAAGCACAAAGGGUGUGUCAUCCCUCUUACCCCAUUGGUGAAAAACUCCAAGCCAGCCAGGAAAGUGGUAAGGAUGAACUAACAAAACCCUCUAUGCAGGACACCACCUACCCUUCCGUGGACAUUUCUCACCUGCUCAAGCUUGCAGAAAACUAGUUGUAUAAGGUUACUGUGAUGUGAUUGCUAAUAGAAAACAUUUAGGAAUCCUGAGUGAGCUUGUCUCUAUGAGGGCUGACUGCAUGCCCUCUGCUCUAGUCUAUCUGCUGCUGGUGGACCCCAUAGCCCUUCCAGAGUCUGCAACUCCAGGUGUCUUCGAGCCCAAGCUGAGCAGUUACGUGACAGGAGGAACUCCGACCUGGCAAUCAGGAGCCCCAGGCUCUGGCCUCAGGUCUGUCACGUAGCAGCUGUUCCAACUAACCUCUUCCUCCAACCUUCAGCUCUUACAACUGCUGGAUGAGAACCAAGUUCUGCUCAGGUCACAGGGCUUUUAUUGUGAAUCAAAUGAGAUGAUGGAAGUCAUGGUACUUUAAAAAUAUCAAAGCCCUAUGUUGGCCAAUAUUAGUCAUUCACUGCAUUGAAUCAUAGCAUAAAAUGUAUCAAAACUCAGACCUGAAAGGAGGUCCUAAUGCUAAAGUAAAACUCAGGUUGCAGGAGGAGAGGUCAUGGUCAUAAUGAAUGGAAUCCAGUUCUCAUCUUUAUAUCAAAGGGAGAAAUCACAUAAACUUGUUUAGGGCCAACCUUUUUGGAGGUUAUAAGGAGCUUUAGGCUAAGAUGUCCCACCUCCUUCACUAGCAGUUUCUGGGUCAUGUUCAAAAAGCUACCGCCAGCAUCCAACACUCUGGAUAAAGAGCUGUCCUGUGCCCCCUUGGGUAACAGACAUGCUAGGAAUGUGUUAUCCCCAUGCCAAGGACAGAGGCAAAAAUCAGGCCCCCUGCACUUGCCUGUGACACACACACUAAGUAGACAAAAGAAAGCAUGUGUUACAUUUCUAUAAAAAGCUUACUUAAUAUUAUAGAAAAGUAAAGAUCACUUUUUUUGGCCAUGCCUGUGGCAUGCACAAUUUCCCAGGCCAAGGAUCAAACCUGUGCCACACAGUGGCCUGAGCUACAGAAGUGAUAAUGCUGAAUCCUUAACCCACCAGGGCACUCCUAAAAUAAAGUUUUUUUGUUUUUUGCUUUUAAGAAUCAGCAACAGGAGUUCCCGUCGUGGCGCAGUGGUUAACGAAUCCGACUAGGAACCAUGAGGUUGUGGGUUUGGUCCCUGCCUUUGCUCAGUGGGUUAACGAUCCGGCAUUGCCGUGAGCUGUGGUGUAGGUUGCAGACACGGCUCAGAUCCCGCGUUGCUGUGGCUCUGGCAUAGGCUGGCGGCUACAGCUCCGAUUCGACCCCUAGCCUGGGAACCUCCAUAUGCCGUGGGAGCGGCCCAAAGAAAUAGCAAAAAAAAAAAAAAAGAAUCAGCAACAGGUCAGACCUUAGUAACAGAGGGUUGCUGCAGGGACUACUCAGCUUAAGAAAUCUCAAUUAAUCAAUCUCAGACAGCAUCCUCUAUGGCCUGUGAACUCCCAGGGCCCUGCAGUGGCGAGGAUAUGCUCCCACAGGCCUGGGCAGGGAGAGAGAAACCCCUAGCUACUGGUUCUAACAAUGUCCCACCAGUGCUCCCUCAAGACAGCAUACUAAGAUACCUGGGUAUACAGGCAAAGGAAUGACACAGAAUCUAAGAUACACACACAUGCAGGGGAAAAAAAAAAAAAGUUUUGCUCUGUUAACUAUGACUGGAAAGAAAUUACCAGAGAGAUGCCUCAUAAUUGAUCACAACAUAUUAGUAUUAAAAAAAAUACUAAAAAAAUACUAAAAAAAAAAUCAGUACUUUCAAGCUCCAACCCGCCAACUUGCUGCCUAUCAUGUCGGGACUGCAAGACAGGCAGCCGAGUCCCUAUGGGAAAUGGCCUCAAACCACAUCCAAAAUCAGUGUCAGUGGAAAAGUAAAAGGUGCUCAGCCCCCAGCCCACCUGCCACCUCCUAUAAAUGCCCACCAAACAAGUCUCCUUUCUGACACUGGCCCCCAGCUCUGAAAUACGGCCAGGGCAUUGAGCACAGUGCUUUGUGCUCCCCGGAGCUAAAUCAUCGUCAUAAUUAUUAUUACCCUUUGAGUGUAGGUAGGCUGAGAAGUGCUUUAAAGCAUUCGUAGCUCCAAAAUCUUUGGGGCAACAGGCAGUUUCUAAGCACUUAGCUGGCUACUGAGAUCCAUCCAGAAACCUAUUUGUCACCAUGACAGGAGGUGAUAAUGUGACAUUUCACAAGUUUCAAAACAGCAGGGGAAAACCACCUCCCCUCCAUUAUUUGUAGCAAUGCUGGACUUCGGAACACACUCUCUGCAUGAACUAUGAAUCACUCUAAUUAUUCAGCAGGCUGUAUAACCAACCAACCACGGGCCACAAUCAGAUCUGUGCCUGGACUUUUUGUGAAGAGAACAUUUUUAGCUUCUCUACCUGCAGUUUUCCCUACCAGCACCAUUUUCCCCAACAAAUAAUAAUCUGCAGAAUUCUUUACUGAAAGGGGCUCCUGCUUCCACAGUGGGCACUGGCAAACAGCACAUUUCCUGUUUUUGCUUCUUUUCAAGCAGGCCAAUACCUACCUCCUCUCCACUUUAAGAACAAGAUCAAGGACUCAAUAUUAUCCCACAAAAUCAAGGACAGAAAACUAUUUCUGAAACCACCAUCCUCUUUCUGCUAUGAAACAGUGUCACUGAUAUCCUUCAAGCAUCCUUUAGAAACUUAAGAGCAGUGAACACCAGAACAUGCUUGGGGAGGGAAAGAACAUACAUAGUGGCUAUGUAUCAGAGACUCAAAUCCUGCUUCUGCUACUUCUUAGCUGUGUGACUUCAUCCAAGUUACUAAACCUCUCUGGCCUCAAUUUUCUGAUUUUAAAUAGAGAUAACAGAACCUUUCUUCCUUCCAUAGUUGUAAGGUUUAGGUAUAAGAUUAAUGUAUAUGUCAGAUUCUGUGAUAUGACUCACAUCAUAAAGGUUUGAUGUCAAUAAUGCUAAUAGUUAACUUUUUAAAAUAAUGCUCUAAGACUAACAAGCAUGGUUGAUAGCAGUCUGCCAGAGGCUGCGGGAGAAAAUGAACAUUAAUGUUCAUUUCACUGUACCCAGUAGGAUGCUUAUCUCUGCCAAGCCCCUUCUCUUUCUUCACCACCUCUCUUCUUGGAACAACGGCUGCCUGCUCUCAUUUGUUUAGUAACAGAUCAGAAUAGAUGGCACAGAGCAAAUGGCAAAAAGAAUUAGGCAUUAGUUUAAGUUCUAAUGUUUAAAAACAGGUAAGCAGGGGUAUGAAACUCAGGAACUUUACCUCAGCUAAAACUUGAAAGGCAAGUCAAUUUUAUAAACACCUUUUAAUCCCUCAAAAUCAUUAACCUUUUUUUUCCCUCCACCUCUUCCUCACAGCACUGUGGUUAUACCCUUCAGUGCAACCACUCAGAUAUUUUAAAGUCUUACAACCUAAAUCCAUUGAGGAGUGUUGUUUUCUACUAAUUAAUAGAGAUCCACGAUCAGUUAUUUUUCAGUAUGGCUUGAAGAAGACUCCCCAAGAAUAGCCUAUGCUGCUGAGGACAGAAUUCAUCCAGAAUCUGUCUCCUUGUAAAAGCAAAAACCUCAGCAAGGAGGAGUGAGUUUCAAGUCCUUCCUUAUUCAUGCUCCCUUCAUCAUGGACCGCAGUACCCUAAGAAAGAGGAAAUUUGUCAAACCAGACAGAAGCCCAACCUCCCUCCUUCAUUUUCUCUACUUGGGUGCUCUGCUCAACUGGAAAAAGGUAAAAAUAAGCACAAAGAAGAUACUACAGACCAAGAUCAGAAAGGAGUCCAUGGAGUUCCCACCAUGGCACAGUGGAAACGAAUCCGACUGGGAACCAUGAGUUUGCAGGUUUGAUCCCUGGCCUCGCUCAGUGGGUUAUGGAUCUGGUGUGGCCUUGAGCUGUGUUGUAUGUUGCAGACACGGGUCAGACCCUGCAUUGAUGUGGCUGUGGUGUAGGCCUGCAGCAGUAGCUCCAAUUCGACCCCCAGCCUGGGAACUUUCAUAUGCUGCGAGUGUGGCCCUAAAACACACACACACAAAAAAAAAAAAAAAAAAGAAA